GUCCCGAGAGGAGAAAACAUACCCGGGAGAGAGAGUUCAUAACCUAAUCCUUGCAAAGUGUCACUUUAACAGUGCAGCGGUCUCACAAAUGUACUCGUUUGGAUAGUAAAUAAUUAAUUUAUAUGAACAGACUGUAAUAAUUGUGCAAGUGUAAAAGGUAACAUAGACUUUAUAUAUUGUUGAAUAGCAAUAGUAGAGAAAUCCAAAAUAUUUAACAGUAUGUAUAUGGAGUGAAUAGCACACCACCCGGAAACAAGAGUACAAGAUAUAACCUACAAGAAUACAUCCUGCACUACAAUGACGCAGGUGUCAACAGGUCAUCUGAAUAGUAUUUAGGUUUACCGCAACUUCAAGUAUAUUAACACAAAUGCAGCCUCGCAGAGAAAGUCACAUAUUUUACACUAUUAGAGAUGACCGGACAGAACUCCAAGAUGAUGAAAGACUCCGUAGGAUCACCAGAAGCAUCUGAGGGGUCUCAGGGAUUCCAGCGCAUCAACAAUUCCAAGAUAACCAAGAAGGCAGCUUCAGAAUCUCAACGAAGACCCACUCCGUCCCAAAUUAGGAUGUAUAAGAGCAUCAAUUCAGGAAUUUGACAUUUCAUCACAGCACUUGUAAUAAUUCCCAGCGAAACGCUCAAUAGAUGACUGUCAUGUUUAACUCAAAGGAAGAUCACUCAGCUAUUUUGAACUUCCAUUUAUGCAUCCAUUAGUUAUUAUAGAUGCUUCACAGAUUAUAGGGAAGAUGUAAAAUGCCAAGACGCGGUUACAGCACAUGUGCAUUGCUUAACACUGUUCUUGGACGGGAUUUAGCACAGCACUAUAUAAUUCGUCUAAAUCGAACGUAUAUAAGAUGAUUAUGAUAUUUCACACAACGGGAAGACCACCAAGUUAUUUGAACUUCCGGCACCUUAUUUAUGCAUCAGUUAGUUGUUAUAAAUGGUGUUAUAAACCCAUCAUAGGUGAUUAUAAUUACAGGGAUAAGAUGUAGGCGCCAAGGCACGAUUGCAACGCAAAAGUGUUUCUCAGCACUGAUCUAAAAUGAAUUUUUAUCACCGCACUAUAAAUUUAUCCAAUUCGGUUAUAUAUAAAAUUAGUGUUUCUUUGGCUAUCACAAACUAAAGUAAUAUCACCUAAGGCCACAAAACUAUCUUUCUCCUACAAACUUCCUUUGUUUGAGGAUAUAAUACAACACAGAUAUAUUGAGGAACAGGAUGCAAAACGCAAAAGCGCAGUAACAAACACAAAAACGAUCCUUGACACUGUUUUAAGGAGGUGUUCAAACACAGCACUAUAAGAUUUACCAACUCCAUCAAAGACCGUUAGCUAUCUUUUCGUCUGCGUGCACCUCGUUUAUAGAAGAUUCAUUACAUUAAACAAAUGUUAGCAGAUUGGGAAGACGAGGCAUGGAGCGCCAGAAUUUGGUUGCACAUCCAAAUAUAAAUCCUGCACUAUUCUAGGAUGAAGAAACAGUAUUCGUUAACACACAGUCAGAUGACAAAGGCAGUUAAUUCAAACCACCCCUACUGAUAACUCAUCCAAUAAGGUCAAGGAUAAAAAGC